AUCUAGUGAUUUGGACAUUUUUUGAGUAGUUUCUUAAAUCUGCCCCAUGCCUCAUGAUAGCUUUCUUCAUCAAGUUGCUGGAAAAGAGAGCCUUUUAGCUCUUUUAGCU
rnacentral:snoRNA from 1 species